rnacentral:rRNA from 1 species
ACGAACGCUGGCGGCGUGCUUAACACAUGCCAGUCGAACGGAAAGGCCCUGCUUUUGUGGGGUGCUCGAGUAGCGAACGGGUGAGUAACACGUGAGUAACCUGCCCUUGACUUUGGGAUAACUUCAGGAAACUGGGGCUAAUACCGGAUAGGAGCUCCUGCUGCAUGGUGGGGGUUGGAAAGUUUCGGCGGUUGGGGAUGGACUCGCGGCUUAUCAGCUUGUUGGUGGGGUAGUGGCUUACCAAGGCUUUGACGGGUAGCCGGCCUGAGAGGGUGACCGGCCACAUUGGGACUGAGAUACGGCCCAGACUCCUACGGGAGGCAGCAGUGGGCAAUAUUGCACAAUGGGCGGAAGCCUGAUGCAGCAACGCCGCGUGCGGGAUGACGGCCUUCGGGUUGUAAACCGCUUUCGCCUGUGACGAAGCGUGAGUGACGGUAAUGGGUAAAGAAGCACCGGCUAACUACGUG